GUGGGGAAUAUUGGACAAUGGGCGCAAGCCUGAUCCAGCCAUGCCGCGUGAGUGAUGAAGGCCUUAGGGUUGUAAAGCUCUUUCGACGGGGACGAUAAUGACGGUACCCGUAGAAGAAGCCCCGGCUAACUUCGUGCCAGCAGCCGCGGUAAUACGAAGGGGGCUAGCGUUGCUCGGAAUCACUGGGCGUAAAGCGCACGUAGGCGGAUCUUUAAGUCAGAGGUGAAAUCCCAAGGCUCAACCUUGGAACUGCCUUUGAUACUGGGGAUCUCGAGUCCGGAAGAGGUGAGUGGAACUGCGAGUGUAGAGGUGAAAUUCGUAGAUAUUCGCAAGAACACCAGUGGCGAAGGCGGCUCACUGGUCCGGUACUGACGCUGAGGUGCGAAAGCGUGGGGAGCAAACAGGAUUAGAAACCCUGGUAGUCC
rnacentral:rRNA from 1 species